UCUAUAUGUAGCCUAUUGAACACUGGAUAAUUAGUGAUGAUGGCCUGGACUAACCUCAUCCUACAUGAAUCCAGGGGGAAUGAUGAGAUACAAAGAUGCAUAUGUGCGAUUUUGAGUGGGUGUUGUGUUCUGGAUCAUUCUGUAUGCCAGGGUGGAACCAGAGAUAUGGAACCCUCGUGCUUGGCUAUGAAACUUAUAGAAUGCAGCCGUCAUGAUUCCUCAAAAUCCACCAGCGCAAUAUCAGACCUGACAUGGGCCAACUUCCUUUAUUCUUACAGCUGCAAUACAAACAGCGAACUGAGAAAGAUGCUGGGGGCCAGGGCGGAGGAAAGACGCUCAUACACGUCUGGUUUGGCGGCCAGCUCCUUCAGUGUCUGGACGCGCUCCUCAGUGAAAAGCUUCUGGUCUGAAUCCUCAUCCAGCCCGUGAAGGCGCUUCUCGUCCGUCUUACGGAAGUGGAUGACGUCGAUGUGGGUCUUGUACACCGACUUCACGGUGCUCUGGCGAGGGUUCUCACGCAUAGGAACCGCUCUGUAGAUACCUGUUGUGGAGAUGAGUUUAGUAAUGACGAUAGUCAUUUUUUGUUUACCAUCAAAUGUCACGUUACAGUGAUGUACUCGCAUCCUGACAUCAAAAAGCUCUGCAGAAGGAUAGCUAACACUGUUGGGAGUCUCAUAAAUCUUGACAAACUGAGUGAGUGAUCACCAUAAAAAUAAAAAACACACAAGGCUGAUGGCUAUA